rnacentral:rRNA from 1 species
GUGGGGAAUAUUGGACAAUGGGCGAAAGCCUGAUCUAGCCAUGCCGCGUGUGUGAAGAAGGUCUUCGGAUUGUAAAGCACUUUAAGUUGGGAGGAAGGGCAGUAAGUUAAUACCUUGCUGUUUUGACGUUACCGACAGAAUAAGCACCGGCUAACUUCGUGCCAGCAGCCGCGGUAAUACGAAGGGUGCAAGCGUUAAUCGGAAUUACUGGGCGUAAAGCGCGCGUAGGUGGUUUUGUAAGUUGGAGGUGAAAUCCCCGGGCUCAACCUGGGAACUGCCUCCAAAACUGCAUGACUAGAGUACGGUAGAGGGUAGUGGAAUUUCCUGUGUAGCGGUGAAAUGCGUAGAUAUAGGAAGGAACACCAGUGGCGAAGGCGACUACCUGGACUGAUACUGACACUGAGGUGCGAAAGCGUGGGGAGCAAACAGGAUUAGAUACCCUUGUAGUCC